rnacentral:rRNA from 1 species
UCGAUUGAGUUUGAUCAUGGCUCAGCCUGAACGCUGGCGGCGUGGCUAAGACAUGCAAGUCGAACGGGGCUGUAGCAAUACAGUCCAGUGGCGGACGGGUGAGUAAUGAAUCGCUAACGUACCCUCCCGUCUGGGAUAGCCGAGGGAAACUUCGGGUAAUACCAGAUGACACCCCCUCAUCGCAUGACGAGGGGUUCAAAGGAGCAAUCCGCGGGUGGCGCGGGCGAUUUCGUAUCAGCUAGUUGGUGGGGUAACGGCCCACCAAGGCGACGACGCGUAGCCGGACUGAGAGGUUGGCCGGCCACAUUGGGACUGAGACACUGCCCAGACUCCUACGGGGGGCUGCAGUAACGAAUCUUCCGCAAUGCACGCAAGUGUGACGGAGCGACGCCGCGUGUGGGACGAAGUCCUUCGGGAUGUAAACCACUGUCAGGGGCUACCAAGUUCUGAGGAGCCCCAGAGGAAGGCACGGCUAACUCUGUGCCAGCAGCCGCGGUAAGACAGAGGUGCCGAGCGUUAGGCGGAAUCACUGGGCUUAAAGCGUGUGUAGGCGGACCCAUAAGUACCUUGUGAAAUCCCACGGCUCAACCGUGGAACUGCUGGGUAUACUGCGGGUCUUGAGCGGCCUAGGGGCAGACGGAACAAGUGGUGGAGCGGUGAAAUGCGUAGAUAUCACUUGGAACGCCGACGGUGAAAACAGUCUGCUGGGGGCCUGCUGAC